UACGAAGGGGGCUAGCGUUGCUCGGAAUCACUGGGCGUAAAGGGCGCGUAGGCGGUCAGCACAAGUCAGUUGUGAAAUCUCCGAGCUUAACUCGGAAAGGUCAACUGAUACUGUGCGACUAGAGUGCGGAAGGGGCAACUGGAAUUCUUGGUGUAGCGGUGAAAUGCGUAGAUAUCAAGAGGAACACCUGCGGCGAAGGCGGGUUGCUGGGCCGACACUGACGCUGAGGCGCGAAAGCUAGGGGAGCGAACGGG
rnacentral:rRNA from 1 species